GACAUGUCUUUGGCCUCUGUCACUUAUCAAAAUUGGAACGAUACAGAGAAGAUUAUCAUGGCCCCUGCACAAGAUCAAGGAUGCUGUUGGAACCGAGACUAAAUAUAUGUAC
rnacentral:snRNA from 1 species